GCUGCCGUGGCUCAGCAGGUAGAGCGACGCACUCGUAAUGCGUAGGUCGUGGGUUCGAUUCCCGUCGGCAGCU
rnacentral:tRNA from 2 species